rnacentral:rRNA from 1 species
AUUGAACGCUGGCGGCAGGCCUAACACAUGCAAGUCGAGCGAGCGGCGGACGGGUGAGUAAUGUAUGGGGACUGCCCGAUAGAGGGGGAUAACUACUGGAAACGGUGGCUAAUACCGCAUACUAUCGGAUAACCCAUAUGGGAUUAGCUAGUAUGUUGGGUAAAGGCUCACCUAGGCGACGAUCUCUAGCUGGUCUUAGAGGAUGAUGAGCCACACUGUGACUGAGACACGGCCCAGAAUCCUACGGAGGCAGCAGUGGGGAAUAUUGCACAAUGGGCGCAAGCCUGAUGAAGCAAGGCCGCGUGUAUGAAGAAGGACUUAGGGUUGUAAAGUACGUUCAGCGGGGAGGCGUUACCCGCAGAAGAAGCGCCGGCUAACUCCGUGCCAGCAGCCGCGGUAAUUC